rnacentral:rRNA from 1 species
UACGGAGGGGGCUAGCGUUGUUCGGAAUUACUGGGCGUAAAGCGCACGUAGGCGGCUUUGUAAGUUAGAGGUGAAAGCCCGGAGCUCAACUCCGGAAUUGCCUUUAAGACUGCAUCGCUAGAAUUGUGGAGAGGUGAGUGGAAUUCCGAGUGUAGAGGUGAAAUUCGUAGAUAUUCGCAAGAACACCAGUGGCGAAGGCGGCUCACUGGCCCGGUACUGACACUGAGGUGCGAAAGCGUGGGGAGCAAACAGG